rnacentral:lncRNA from 1 species
UUCUAUUCUGUAUAAGAUAUCGCCUUCCCCUCCCUUUUUAAAUUCUAUUUUAUUCUUAUUUUUACCUAUAAUAAUAAUAAGGUCCUGUCUCAUUUUAAGUAUGGUAACUCCCGAUCACCGCUACCCUUUCCGAUUGAUCUGAGUCCCAUAACGCAUGUCAGAGCUCUGCCCGAAUAAGUUCGUUGGUAUUCUGUCUCGGGACUUCGGGACAAGGUUGAAUUAGGAGUACUAUACUUAACACGAGUGCAAUAUAUAUUUUAAUAGCCCAAAAGUUAUACCCAAAAUUUAUACCAGGAGAUUUUCUAGUUAAACCUUAAAGUUACACAGUGGGUCCAUUCUCUUUUCUCACUGUUUUAUUCUCUUUUUACCCAAAACUAUUAUUUAUUAUUUCUAUUUUGUAAACAACUUUUAUCAAAAGUCAUGCCUAUUAUUUUAUUUAACUAAUAGGGAACCAUAGUUGAGACACCCAAGUAAUCCUGCACAACUCCUAAAAUUUUCAUAACAAUCAGAAUCAGGAUCAGGGCCCCUAAAACCCAGGGGGGUAAACCCUAGUGGACGAUUAUCUUCAAAUCUCGUUGUCAAAUUCGAAUUUAAAGAAAUCAUCGACUCAGCUAGCCUACUCCCACACGCGGCAAACCUAUGGUCAUUACGUGUCCCUUACGGACCGUAAGGGAUAAGUCUUACGGUCCGUAAGCCUGUCAAAUUUCGUGUAUAAAUAGCAGGCAUCGGCACUUGCAGUCUGCUGUUCAUUCGACGAUUAAAUUCCGAUUAUACACCGAGUUAUCGUCCAAAUACUCUAAAAACACACACGCGAAUCACUAAUUAGUAUAGCAGGGUGCUGCUACGAUACAGGGUAUUAACUCGAUCGCUAUUACGAUUCAUUUUCCGACCAAUCAAUAUAUCCAAUGGAUGUUUAAGUGCCACCCACAUUAGGGUUAUACUUUGUCGUUCGUCGUUAAUUCGAUGGAUGUUUAAGUAUCGUACUUUGUCGUUCGUCGUUAAAUCGAUGGAUGUUUAAGUAUCGCACUUUGUCGUUCGUUGUGAGAAUUUGAUCUCGUGAGUUAUCGUAAUUGUUGUAUUAAGUUACCUACCUAGUUCGUAUGCACUAGGUUACAAGGCUAAAUCAAUAGGCUAAGCUCUGCCUAUGUAAAUCUGCAAUAUAUCAAGGCUUAUCUGUAGACUAAACUUUGGCCGUAUGAAUCUGCAUGAUUGUAAUCCAGUAUGUGGGGUAUUGUGCACAUUACUACGGUUUAAAUCAUUUUAGGUGGGCGAACCUAAUUUUAAUUGAUUUACGUCAUUCAUUGGGGCAGCCAAUGGUGAUAUGACCACUGUCACAGAUCCGGUUGAGUGACAAAUACUGUGGGUAGUUGGUUGAUAUCAGAAACAUGCGUAAAAGAUCUUAACACUGUGUAUUAAAAUAAAUGUGUCAUUUUCAGUAAAAUGAAUGAUUCACUCAGUAUUUCCCGCUGACAAAACCUUUUUAAAACACGUUUCAGGUAAUUACAGUACAUUGGAAUAAGAGUUGGAUCCGGCACCGAAGGCAUCAAGAAGUGGCUUAUUUUAUUAAUUAAAUCAAAUUAAGAAAUAUUGUUUUUAUUAAAAGCUACCUUUGAAACAAUGGAAUUUAUUCCAUCUAUUUAAAUAAAAUCCGGUGUUUCUAAACUCUGAUAUUUUUCCUAACUCACGGUCCUGAUGAAAUUUCCGCUGCAAUGUUUUUCAAAAUAAUCACCGGUACCACUGGACUGCUCGCGACUCCCGAUUCCGGCCAGGAUGGGGUCGGGGGACGUGACACACAACAUUGCCCUGACUAUCCUCAGUAUACACAGCUGAACUAAAGUUCAGGGUUCUGGGCUGCAAGGGAGUGACAGUAUCCUCAACCGGUCUCUUGGAGUUAGACUUCAAGAGUUGUAUCUCGUUUAUCAGCAUCUUGUUAGUUUCCUGCUGUUACUUCAUCUGAUCCUGUAUACUACCAAACAAAGUUAGAAUUUCAUCAUUAGAAACCAUAACAGUAGUUCUCCGUGGAACACCAGAUCUGUGGACAUUUUGAGCAGGAACAGUGUCUCGGGAUAUGUGAGUCUCAACCCUCCUUGGAGGAGCCUGUGAAGGAGCUUGCAUUUGUGGAGGUGGUGGAAGCACCGAACCGGUUGUGGAAGAGGUUGUAGCAGGCAUGGAGGAAGAACUCGUGUUUGAUUUUGAAGUAAUUGAAAACUGUUGUGAAAAAAGUUUAUGAAAAUAAAAAGCCAAGUAAAGAUGUAACAAAGCUUUUAGUAGAAAUAACACCACUUGCCCCACAGUGGCCGCCAAAUUGUUUUGGUCAAAAAUUACCAAAGCAAUUAAGUGAUCAAAUUAGUUUGUGAGGUAGUGUGCUAAUGAUGUUUGCAAAAAAUAUAUUGAGUUGAUUGCUUUAUAAAGACAGUUUCAGGAUAUAGCCCGAGGAUAUCAGACUAUAUCAAUGAUCAAACAAUGAGUAAAAAUGUAAAGGUUGACAUGAGAUAUACGAGGAAAGCCCUU